ACACUCGCGCGGCCCCGGGGACCCGCGACGCCACCUUCAGCGUAGCGGUCCCGUGGUUCGGCCCGGGAAGAUCAUGGAAGAGGCGGCGGAUCCCGGCUGCUCCCCGGCCCCGAACCCCCAGCCCAACCACGCAGUCAUAAAUAACCGCGCCAGCCCGGCGACACCUGGCUACGCGACAGCGCGACACUGCGGGCACAGCCGAGUCAGCGUAACUGAGGCGCGGCCGAGUGCGGGGCUCUCUGGGGCCCGCGCCGCUGCUACGGGCGGGGUGGGUCUCCGAGCUGGGCUCAGCGCCCGUCUGGGACACUCACAUUCCCUAACGGUCUCCUGACCUCAGGAAACUCAAGGUCUUGACUCAAGGUCGUGAACGAUUUGCAAUUGUAUCUUCACAUAUACGACACAAAUGAGGUAUAAGCAUUUGGCUCAAGUCAUAACGAUUGCAAAUUAAGGCAAACACUUUGACGACUGAAGGGCAGCUUCCGGACUUUUGAUGGGAGAAGGCUAAUGCUGUUUUUUAGAAGCAUUAGCACACCCGCGGUCACUUAAUUCAACAAAUCAGAACUGUCUUGUGCAUAUAAAAGUUAAAAAUUUUAAAACUUCUGUGAAUAAAGAUAAAAUCUUGAACGAUACCCUGAUUUUUCAGGGAAGCGCUGUUUGUAUAAAUAUAAAAUAAAUGAGAAGCGUAUUGUGUCAUC
rnacentral:lncRNA from 10 species